AUCCAGCUGACGAGUCCCGAAUAGGACGAAACGCGCGUCAAACUAGAU
rnacentral:hammerhead_ribozyme from 1 species